GAGGUGUCUUCUGCCAUAAUAGUAGUCUCUACCAAUCAUUCCCCCUGCAGGAAAAUCAAAUUUAACAACUGUUUCCACCAGAAAACCAUCAUCAUAAGAACCAAAAAUUAGGCGAGGACUCACAGUACCUGGGUUUAACUUCAUGUCGCUGAAAGAGGCACUGAAAAGAUACACCCUGGGCCAGAAGGGAAUCUGCUGCUUUAAAGAAAAGAUUCUAGUCCUGGCAGGAGGAAGAGGAAGACAGAGCUCUUACCAGGGGGAGGCAGAGAUGGCACAGCAAGAGACAUGCCCCCAGAA
rnacentral:lncRNA from 10 species